rnacentral:rRNA from 1 species
GACGAACGCUGGCGGCGUGCUUAACACAUGCAAGUCGAACGAAGAGCGAUGGAAGCUUGCUUCUAUCAAUCUUAGUGCCGAACGGGUGAGUAACGCGUAAUCAACCUGCCCUUCAGAGGGGGACAACAGUUGGAAACGACUGCUAAUACCGCAUACGAUCUAAUCUCGGCAUCGAGGAUAGAUGAAAGGUGGCCUCUACAUGUAAGCUAUCACUGAAGGAGGGGAUUGCGUCUGAUUAGCUAGUUGGAGGGGUAACGGCCCACCAAGGCGAUGAUCAGUAGCCGGUCUGAGAGGAUGAACGGCCACAUUGGGACUGAGACACGGCCCAGACUCCUACGGGAGGCAGCAGUGGGGAAUCUUCCGCAAUGGACGAAAGUCUGACGGAGCAACGCCGCGUGAGUGAUGGCGGCCUUCGGGUUGUAAAGCUCUGUUAAUCGGGACGAAAGGCCUUCUUGCGAAUAGUGAGAAGGAUUGACGGUACCGGAAUAGAAAGCCACGGCUAACUACGUG